UGGGGAAUCUUGCGCAAUGGGCGAAAGCCUGACGCAGCGACGCCGCGUGCGGGAAGAAGGCCUUCGGGUUGUAAACCGCUUUCAGGAGGGACGAAGCCACUCGGGUUAAUAGCCCAGAGGGUGACGGUACCUCCAGAAGAAGCCCCGGCUAACUACGUGCCAGCAGCCGCGGUAAUACGUAGGGGGCUAGCGUUGUCCGGAUUUAUUGGGCGUAAAGAGCGUGUAGGCGGCCAGAUAGGUCUGCUGUGAAAACUCGAGGCUCAACCUCGAGCUGUCGGCGGAAACCAUUUGGCUAGAGUCCGGAAGAGGAAAGUGGAAUUCCUGGUGUAGCGGUGAAAUGCGCAGAUAUCAGGAAGAACACCCGUGGCGAAGGCGGCUUUCUGGGACGGUACUGACGCUGAGACGCGAAAGCGUGGGGAGCGAACAGG
rnacentral:rRNA from 1 species